GCGCGAUCUCGGCGCUGCUGAUGCUGCAUUUGCUGCUGAUCUGGAUCUCGCAUUUAUAGCCCGGAUCUUUCUAUUACAAUGAUGAACCUGGCAAUUUCUGGUAAAUACAAGACUACUAAUUUUAUCUUGUCUUGGCCUUGAGUGAAAUCCUAUACUUGGGUUUGGUCAGGGGUGACUCCUGGAAGAGCAUUACACAUCCUGAAGCUUCAUGCUCCUCUCAGACCUGAUGCUGAAUGACUCAAGCAGGAAGGAAGGGGAAGGAUUCCUGCUCCCUUUUAUACUCCUGUGGAAUCACUCCAACCUCUUUCAUCUGUUCAUUACUCUAUAAAUGCAACACUUUCCAAAAGAAAUUCACUGUUGAAUUAAGGGGGGAAGUGGGACACAAAACAAAUGGGGGUGAUAAUGAAUUGAAGUGAUGAUCUGAGGAGCUCAUAGUGCUUCAUAAGCAUUAAUUAAUUAAACCUGACUAGAUCCCAGUGAGCCUUGUUCCUGAAUAAAAAAUGCACGAUAAAUGAAUUGUACAGGGAGCACUGAAGGGCUACUGAUGACCUAUAGUUAUGUACAGUGUGUAACUCAUCCUGUUACCCAAUUAGGAUGAUCAGAACUUUUCUUUCUGUUGCUGAAAACCUGAGUGUGCUUCAGAGCCUGGAAGGGAGCAGGACAUCCUCGGUGUGUGCUCAGCUGCCUGGAGGUGACCUCUCAGGAGUUAACAGCAGGGAGAUCUCUGUGAUACCAAACUGCCUGAGCACAGAUUAGGCCCUGGGAGCUGCUGUGGCCUGGCCCUGGCUCUGACACCAGUUUUUCAUGACUUUGCUGGAAACAAGGAAAAUAUCCAUGAUUUCUGUGCUACUCAACUCUCUGGAGUCUAUCAGCAGCAACUCCACCGGCUGAGCUUGGAACCAAGAGUUUUAUGGAACAACUAUCUGGAUGUGUGUUCAAGCAAGAAUUUGGGUGUGGAAAGUAUGGGGGCAGCAGGGUUUGGAUGCUCAUCCAGCUGCCUCAUCCAACCAUUCCUCCAGUGCCACGUGAGACAAUGGAUGAAGCGCAUCAUUUUCAAGAAAUGUUAAAUUCCUCAAAACAGCUGUAAGGAGAGCAGGAAAGACAGAGCUCGAGGAUAAUGGGUGAAGUUUCUUCCUUGCUUUCUCUAUGGUAGCAAGAUCAUUGGAGAGGCCCAGAUGCUCCGGUUGCCUAACCCUGCAGAUUAUCCAUUUGGAGAUGCCUGUGGCACAUCCCCAUCUUGCCUCCCUGGCCUGCUGCAGGUUUUCUCCCACUCCAGCAGCACAUCUCCUGCAGCAGCCGCGCGAUUCCUCCCCUGCAGCCCGCGUGGCAGAAGCUGCUCGCGAGCCUCUGUGGGAGUUGCCGCUACGUUUGUGAAGACGCACAAGUUUUGAGGCAGAAAUGUGGCUCAGAAUAGCUCUGUCUUACUCCCAUUCCCUGGAAACACGACUCCAACAAGGCGUCUGCGAGGCACUGAGGGUAUGAAAGCGUAUUGCAGAGCGAGCAAGCUCGUAUCAUCAAACACAGCCAGCCAGUACAAAAAUUUCAGCCAUGUAGUGUGGCGCUGAUUUAAAGUGGUCUGGAAUGCAAUAAAAGGCUUUUUGUAGCAUCCUAAACAGAAGGAUAUUGAAGGGAGCUGAUUCUGCUUUGAUCCUUAUGCUUGUUGUCAAAGCGCUUGGGAUUGAAGAGACUGUUGGCUACAAUUGACUGUGACAAUUAGGAGAUGAUCAGAGCCCUAGAGUGGAGCACUUAAAGGGUAAUUUACAUGUCAGUUUGUCGAAUAAAAAAAAGAUAUUCAGCUAAGAUUUUUUUUUCCCCUUAGAGCCUUGUAAACUGCAAUUUGUGCUAUAGUAAGAAAAACCUGGCAGAGGAGUUAGGAUAGCCAUUUCCAUUUGAAAAGAGGCAAUCAUAAGGCCACUGCUGAGCCUAUUGUCCACUAAAAAUGCUGAUUUGCAGUCAGGGAGUGAAAGAGUGGAGCCAUCACUAAAUAGAACCUCGUGCAAGGUAACUCCCCCUUGGUGGCUUUCUAAUGUUGGCUGAAGGUUUUAUAUACCUUAAAUCCCGCAUUUACUAUCAUUAUAACAUUGUUACUGAUCAUGAAUGUCCUUUAUCAUAACAAAAAAAAUGAAGGUAUUGAGGGGGAGGAACAGGAGCGACCAGGCAGUGGAUAGGCUCUCACCAGCUAUCUAUUGUAUCACAUCUUUCUUGUUCCCUCGCCUUUUGUGUGCCAUCACAAUUUUCUUCUUGUCACCCUUUGCACUUUGCCAUUCAGGCACCUUCCAUAACACUUUUUCUCAUAGGGUUUUUUUUUUUCCCCCGUACCUAUUUACACUUCAUUUUUAGACUCACUCCCAGGAGAUUUUUAGCAUUUUCCACGUUUAACCUGCUGGGAAAGGAAAAGAGAGAGGGAGGUGACAGUAGCUGUUCAGAGUUUGCCUUUCUGUGUGAUUAGGCUGCAAUACAGACUGUAACACAGACUGGAGACAUGCGGGUCGGAGAGAGGACUGAAGUUAAGGCAGCUGAUGAUUAAACAAACUUGUUUGUGAUAAAUCCCUUUUUCUUAUGUGAUAGCUCUGAUGAACCUAGAGUUGCUUUGACUGCAGAGUUAUAUGAACUUAUAAAAAUAUCUAAACCCAACACCUCCCUCAUUAUUCUGGUUGGUGUGAGCUGUAGCAUAUGUGAUAUUCCUCACGGUUUAAGGAAGGGAUAUUAGUGGGUACAUAUAGUGUUUGUAUAUGCAAAUAAGUGUGUUUAUUUUGAGGUUCCAUCGUAGGCUUUUCUUCCAGAGAUUGGAUUGGCUCCCUUUUUACUCUCAUCUCCUUAAAAGAAGAAAUAGUCAUCUGUUCCAGUUCAGGAACCAGAAUGAAACACUUUGCUUUGUCACAAUUACCAAGUAGCCUUUGCUGCUCAGAUGUGCAUUGCAUAAAGCCCCCAGGGGUUGCUUUUCUGGGGAAGUUUUGCAGCUUCCAGUAAAAGUCACACAUAUAGAUCACAGCUCUGAUUCUGAUCCCUGGUCAAACACCACUGAUUUGAACAGAUUUAGCAUUUCUGUUCGUGCCAGUUAGAUAUAAGUAUCAGGCCCUGUGUUUCCAUAAGACCCCCAAACUGUCUUUUCUUUUGUCAUAACCCUUAUGUCCUUAAGUUUUUUUGCAUAUUGAAUCCAUGACAAUGGGGUUUCUAUGUAAAACUGUACUGGAAACAUUUUUUAAAACUGGAUUGGAAACAUGUUUUAACCUGACUUUUGCAUGGGGGGUGAAGAAGCACUUCAAAAUAUUUCUAAACUUUGCAGAGUUUCUCUUCAAGGUAAAUUUAAAGUUUAAAUUGAAGAAAAUCUUAUACUAAAAGGCUUUUCUUCUUUAGGAGAAUUAUGGUGUUGUCACUCUCUCCAGGAUGCUAUAAAUGGGAGAUGGUGGCUUUUGCCCUCUCUCGUUGCACUAAACUUG